AUUGAACGCUGGCGGCAGGCUUAACACAUGCAAGUCGAGCGGAGAUGAGGUGCUUGCACCUUAUCUUAGCGGCGGACGGGUGAGUAAUGCUUAGGAAUCUGCCUAUUAGUGGGGGACAACAUUCCGAAAGGAAUGCUAAUACCACAUACGUCCUACGGGAGAAAGCAGGGGAUCUUCGGACCUUGCGCUAAUAGAUGAGCCUAAGUCGGAUUAGCUAGUUGGUGGGGUAAAGGCCUACCAAGGCGACGAUCUGUAGCGGGUCUGAGUGGAUGAUCCGCCACACUGGGACUGAGACACGGCCCAGACUCCUACGGGAGGCAGCAGUGGGGAAUAUUGGACAAUGGGGGAAACCCUGAUCCAGCCAUGCCGCGUGUGUGAAGAAGGCCUUAUGGUUGUAAAGCACUUUAAGCGAGGAGGAGGCUACUGAGACUAAUACUCUUGGAUAGUGGACGUUACUCGCAGAAUAAGCACCGGCUAACUCUGUGCCAGCAGCCGCCGUAA
rnacentral:rRNA from 1 species